GGUUAAGUUAGAAAGGGCGCACGGUGGAUGCCUUGGCACUAGGAGCCGAUGAAGGACGGGACGAACACCGAUAUGCUUCGGGGAGCUGUAAGCAAGCUUUGAUCCGGAGAUUUCCGAAUGGGGAAACCCACCACUCGUAAUGGAGUGGUAUCCAUAUCUGAAUUCAUAGGAUAUGAGAAGGCAGACCCGGGGAACUGAAACAUCUAAGUACCCGGAGGAAGAGAAAGCAAAUGCGAUUCCCUGAGUAGCGGCGAGCGAAACGGGAUUAGCCCAAACCAAGAGGCUUGCCUCUUGGGGUUGUAGGACACUCUGUACGGAGUUACAAAGGAACGAGGUAGAUGAAGAGGUCUGGAAAGGCCCGCCAUAGGAGGUAACAGCCCUGUAGUCAAAACUUCGUUCUCUCCUGAGUGGAUCCUGAGUACGGCGGAACACGUGAAAUUCCGUCGGAAUCCGGGAGGACCAUCUCCCAAGGCUAAAUACUCCCUAGUGACCGAUAGUGAACCAGUACCGUGAGGGAAAGGUGAAAAGCACCCCGGAAGGGGAGUGAAAGAGAUCCUGAAACCGUGUGCCUACAAGUAGUCAGAGCCCGUUAACGGGUGAUGGCGUGCCUUUUGUAGAAUGAACCGGCGAGUUACGAUC
rnacentral:rRNA from 1 species